rnacentral:rRNA from 1 species
GACGAACGCUGGCGGCGUGCUUAACACAUGCAAGUCGAACGGUGAAGCUCCAGCUUGCUGGAGUGGAUCAGUGGCGAAUGGGUGAGUAACACGUGAGCAACCUGCCCCUGACUCUGGAAUAAGCGCUGGAAACGGCGUCUAAUACUGGAUACGAGAAGGGUCCGCAUGGGCACUUUCUGGAAAGUUUUUCGGUUGGGGAUGGGCUCGCGGCCUAUCAGCUUGUUGGUGAGGUAAUGGCUCACCAAGGCGACGACGGGUAGCCGGCCUGAGAGGGCGACCGGCCACACUGGGACUGAGACACGGCCCAGACUCCUACGGGAGGCAGCAGUGGGGAAUAUUGCACAAUGGGCGAAAGCCUGAUGCAGCGACGCCGCGUGAGGGAUGACGGCCUUCGGGUUGUAAACCUCUUUCAGCAGGGAAGAAGCGAAAGUGACGGUACCUGCAGAAGAAGCACCGGCUAACUACGUG